UGGGGAAUAUUGCACAAUGGGCGCAAGCCUGAUGCAGCGACGCCGCGUGGGGGAUGACGGCCUUCGGGUUGUAAACCUCUUUCACCAUCGACGAAGGUCCGGGUUUUCUCGGAUUGACGGUAGGUGGAGAAGAAGCACCGGCCAACUACGUGCCAGCAGCCGCGGUAAUACGUAGGGUGCGAGCGUUGUCCGGAAUUACUGGGCGUAAAGAGCUCGUAGGUGGUUUGGCGCGUUGUUCGUGAAAUCUCACGGCUUAACUGUGAGCGUGCGGGCGAUACGGGCAGACUAGAGUACUGCAGGGGAGACUGGAAUUCCUGGUGUAGCGGUGGAAUGCGCAGAUAUCAGGAGGAACACCGGUGGCGAAGGCGGGUCUCUGGGCAGUAACUGACGCUGAGGAGCGAAAGCGUGGGGAGCGAACA
rnacentral:rRNA from 1 species